CGAUCUAAGUUCAUUCUUCCAAGAUUGGUUGAAAAAUUUAAGGAGUUGGAAGAAGGAUUAGCAUUUUAUGAAAAUAACCACAACAACUUGAUGGAGAUUGAAGGCAAACGGUACUUUCACAUUACUUGGGCACAAAUUCAACAAAGAAUUGGAAGAUAACAAUACAUUAUACCAGAAACUAAAGGUAAUAUAUUCUUGUUU
rnacentral:lncRNA from 1 species